rnacentral:rRNA from 1 species
AGUAAAAGUCGUAACAAGGUCUCCGUUGGUGAACCAGCGGAGGGAUCAUUACAGAGUUAUCCAACUCCCAAACCCAUGUGAACUUAUCUCUUUGUUGCCUCGGCGCAAGCUACCCGGGACCUCGCGCCCCGGGGGGCCCGCCGGCGGACAAACCAAACUCUGUUGUCUUCGUUGAUUAUCUGAGUGUCUUAUUUAAUAAGUCAAAACUUUCAACAACGGAUCUCUUGGUUCUGGCAUCGAUGAAGAACGCAGCGAAAUGCGAUAAGUAAUGUGAAUUGCAGAAUUCAGUGAAUCAUCGAAUCUUUGAACGCACAUUGCGCCCAUUAGUAUUCUAGUGGGCAUGCCUGUUCGAGCGUCAUUUCAACCCCUAAGCACAGCUUAUUGUUGGGACUCUACGGCUUCGUAGUUCCCCAAAGACAUUGGCGGAGUGGCAGCAGUCCUCUGAGCGUAGUAAUUCUUUAUCUCGCUUUUGUUAGGCGCUGCCCCCCCGGCCGUAAAACCCCCAAUUUUUUCUGGUUGACCUCGGAUCAGGUAGGAAUACCCGCUGAACUUAAGCAUAUCAAUAAGCGGAGGAAAAGAAACCAACAGGGAUUGCCUCAGUAACG